CAGUGGAUUACUCAAGCUUUGACUCAAUGGAGCUUUGACCUGAAACUUUUCAGGGAAACAUAGGGAAAAAGGCAUUGUAAUAGAUAAGUUCCUUUUUUAAAUGGCUACUGGACACAUAAACCUGACUGACUUCAUCCUACCUGAAAGUUACUUUGCUUUACUGUUUGAAGCAAGAGUGAGCAUGUCCUGAAAGGGAAUUCACUGACGGGAGUCCUGUUUUGAGUUCUCGUUUGGACCUUGGCCGUAAGACAACUCUGAUCUGCACUCAUAGAGUCUCUCAAGCUUUGGUUCCUUUUUCCUGGUCUCAGUGGAAUGAAAGAAUUCUUUCCAUAUUUUCUGCAGCCCUGGACUGUUCUGGUUUACAGCAUUGGUGGAGGUGGGAUUGUAAUUCUGAAACUUCAGAUCUUCAAAGAAGGGAAGGAGAACGCCUUGUGCUUAUACCAUAGACAUGUGAUUUUUUUUUUUUUUAAGUUGGAACACUGUAAUGUUUUUAUUUUCUUUAAAUAAAUUUAAAUAAAAUUUUUUAUUCUUA